GUCUGUAUGAAGUUACAUAGAGUCUGACCUGCCCAAUGAAUUUUAUUUAAAAGGCCGCAGUAAUUUGACUGUGCAAAGGUAGCAUAAUAAUUAGUUUUUUAAUUGAAGGCUUGUAUGAAUGGUUGGACAAAGAAAAACCUGUCUAUUUGUGUUAUAUUUGAAUUUUACAUUUAAGUGAAAAGGCUUAAAUAAAUUUAAGGGACGAUAAGACCCUAUAAAUCUUUACAUUGUAUUAACUUUUUUUAUAAUUUUAUUAAAAAUUAAUAGUGUUAUGUUGGGGCAACAUAAAUAUAAGAAAUAACUGUUCUAUAAAAUAAACAUUUAUAUAUGGAUAAAAUUUAAAGAUCCUUUUAAAAAGAUUGAAAGUUUAAGUUACUUUAGGGAUAACAGCGUUAUUUUUUUUGAGAGUUCUUAUUGAAAAAAAAGUUUGCGACCUCGAUGUUGAAUUAAAAUUUCUCUAUGGUGCAACAGUUAUAAGAGAGAGUCUGUUCAACUUUUAAAAUUUU
rnacentral:rRNA from 1 species